UUAUAAAAUAUAGUUUACAAUGGUUAUUAAGUAACUUCCUGUCAAACUCGUCCCGCCAACCCGUCCGUAAAAAACUAUUUAUUUUAUUAAUGUUGAUCUUAUUUAUGAUAUGUUUAUGAAUUAUUGUCUAAAUAUUUUGUAAUUUUGUAGUAAUUAAAUGCUAUCAAAUAUCUCUGCGGUUUGAUGAUUAUAAUCGAAUUGUUAUAGUCAUGGAGAAAAGCAAUAUCAAAAAUGAUAAUUUUGUAGUAAUUU
rnacentral:sRNA from 1 species